UUCCACCCAUUCUGGGCUAAGGCGUCCAGGUCUCGGGGGCUUUUCCCCCUUCUUCGGCGCGGAGUUCAAGGCCUUCGGCUUCCCCAGGAAGCUUCACCCCAGGGCGUGUGCCCAAGUGGGGACUGUGUCUUGGGAACUAGCUGAGGCUUUCCCCACUCCCUAUCCCCGAGGCUGGCAGAGAACAAGGUCAGGGGGCGGGGCCUCGAUCUCUCCAAGUUUUCCUGGCGGAGACCCGGCCAGCAUCCCAGGCUGCUGCCUGGCGGAGGCUGGGGUGGGGGCGGCGAGCCCUUCUUCCUACUUUCCUUUUGGAGUUCAGGGCUUGGAGUUACUGUGGGGCUGGAAAUAAGUCAUUCCUCCUCCUUGAACUGAUUUUUCUUGACAGGGUUGUUGUCCACCUUACAGGAUUGCUGUGAGAAUAAAAUGAAAGAUGUGAUAUCUCGAAAUGAUGUAGGUAAACCUCACCUGACCCACAGAGUUGUGGCUGUGAAACUGGGAAGAAAGUGCUGAUGUUGGAGAAGGAUCUCAUACACCACAGCGUGCUCCUCAGUAGCAUCGUUGUGAAUUCGAGAAUGGCCCAGGAGGAGAGACAGUGGGUGCCUUCAGCAAAGAAGAAAAGGGAAAAUCCCUAGGGAAGAAAGAUUGAGUGGAAGAAAGAGUGGGAGGAGGGAAGAAAAACCGAAGAAGUGAAGGAGUAAGAGAAAGAAGGAAAUACAGGAGUCUGAAUACUCAAGUCCUCUGUGGAGAACCUGGGAAGCCACAUGGCUACCUUCUCUGGGGCACAGAGGUUUGGAGGAGCCUGGGUGUUUGUGUAACGGGUGUACUUGAGGGCUUGAAGGACCAGAGACACCUAUGUCUCCUGCACUCAUUUCUUUCCCUCAGAGCUCCCCUGGUUAGGGGGGAGCUGGGAAGGUAGUACUCUCAGAGAGGGGACUGGGGGCAAAACCAAAGUGGAGAGAGCCAACAAGGACCUGUUAGAACUGGAAAGGCGGGAAGGGAAGUGAGAAGAGGGAAUAUGCAGCUCACACCCGCCCAAUGGAUGGGCAAUGUUGGAGGCACGAGCAGGCUGGAAGCGGUGUCAUCCUGACUGCCAUGAGGAAACUCAGGGCAAUUCCUUUUUCUUGUAUCAGGAACUUGCCCAAGGCAGGCCACCAAAGAAGAGCUCUUUGCCAUACCUGCUCAGGCCUUCCUCCCUGGAAAGGUAAGGACAAACCUUGGAAUGGGUAUUGAAAUGAGUUAAUUUCAUAGAUUUUCAAGUGGGAAGUACAUUUAUAUGCCUCUACCAUCCUCACAAUACAGCAGAAGUAACAAAGAGGUUAAAUGAUUCAGCCAAGGAGGUUAAGGCACUUGUGCAAGGCCACACAGUUAGGUGGUGGAGUGUGCCCUAACUUCUAUUCUUGUGCUAUGCUCAGUUUCUUAACAUCUUGUAGUUCAGUCCCUAGAUCCUUAUCCAGUGAAGGCAGAGUCUGCCUCCACCUACCACAGGCAGAAAACAUAGGCACAAUCCUGGGGCAGGGCAGAGGGGUCCCAAUACAGCUGCGGGACAAGGUCAAAGGAUCCUCAUGUCCUCCUAGUUGAGCCAGGAAUGACCUUUCAAAUGCUGGAAUUCUGUUUUUUGCCUCAGUUUUCCCAGUCCUUGAAAUUGAGUAGAUGAAUAUGAGUUAGAGGGGUGUGGAGAAGGUCAGUCUGGCUACAAUAUAGGCGUAGGAAUGGCCUCUUUUAUGAUGCAAAAAAUGGAUGUGUGGGGGCCAAGAAGAUUGUUUCAAGGUUUUGAUGGUCAUUAGGUGGCUGAUCUGAGAUUGGCCUUGAGAAUCCCUCUGCCUUAUCCACAAGGUCAGCUACAUGUCUGAGAAGAGAACUGAUCCUUCUUCUUGUGGCUUCUUUGUUCAGGGAUCCUCCUAUACCCUAGAUGCCUGCAUCCUGGGGUGUCUGAGUCUUCAUCCCUCUCUGUGUCCUUCAGGACUUAUCAGGCAUGGGGGCUACAUCCCUCCUGGGGGUAACUACCCUGGGGCACAAAAGCUGGGGAAGGGGUGCAUAGAGAUUGAAUGAGAGGUUUCUGGUUUAUUCCUUAGUCUGCCUCACUUAGCUCUGUGCUUCUUAUGCAACUCACAGUACAGGACCAUUGGCCCCAGGGGCAGGAGCAAGGUCACUACUCACCAUCUCUAUGCCAGCUUCUGCUUCCCAAGACCUCUGGGCAGGGGCUCUCGCCUUGGAGAGAGAGGAUGAGUGGGCCACCUGUGUUUUUUUUUUUAAUUAACUUUAUUUGGAUUUGCUGCACACAGGCUUUUUCUGUUUGCA